UUGCUGCGGCGUGCUAUACAUGCAGUCGAGCGAGCGGAACUAACAGAUUUACUUCGGUAAUGACGUUAGGAAAGCGAGCGGCGGAUGGGUGAGUAACACGUGGGGAACCUGCCCCAUAGUCUGGGAUACCACUUGGAAACAGGUGCUAAUACCGGAUAAGAAAGCAGAUCGCAUGAUCAGCUUUUAAAAGGCGGCGUAAGCUGUCGCUAUGGGAUGGCCCCGCGGUGCAUUAGCUAGUUGGUAAGGUAAAGGCUUACCAAGGCGAUGAUGCAUAGCCGAGUUGAGAGACUGAUCGGCCACAUUGGGACUGAGACACGGCCCAAACUCCUACGGGAGGCAGCAGUAGGGAAUCUUCCACAAUGGACGCAAGUCUGAUGGAGCAACGCCGCGUGAGUGAAGAAGGUUUUCGGAUCGUAAAGCUCUGUUGUUGGUGAAGAAGGAUAGAGGUAGUAACUGGCCUUUAUUUGACGGUAAUCAACCAGAAAGUCACGGCUAACUACGUGCCAGCAGCCGCGGUAAUACGUAGGUGGCAAGCGUUGUCCGGGAUUUAUUGGGCGUAAAGCGAGCGCAGGCGGAAGAAUAAGUCUGAUGUGAAAGCCCUCGGCUUAACCGAGGAACUGCAUCGGAAACUGUUUUUCUUGAGUGCAGAAGAGGAGAGUGGAACUCCAUGUGUAGCGGUGGAAUGCGUAGAUAUAUGGAAGAACACCAGUGGCGAAGGCGGCUCUCUGGUCUGCAACUGACGCUGAGGCUCGAAAGCAUGGGUAGCGAACAGGAUUAGAUACCCUGGUAGUCCAUGCCGUAAACGAUGAGUGCUAAGUGUUGGGAGGUUUCCGCCUCUCAGUGCUGCAGCUAACGCAUUAAGCACUCCGCCUGGGGAGUACGACCGCAAGGUUGAAACUCAAAGGAAUUUGACGGGGGCCCGGCACAAGCGGUGGAGCAUGKKGKUUGUAAUUCRACGCAACGCGRARRAMCUUACCAGGUCUUGACAUCUAGUGCCAUUUGUAGAGAUACAAAGUUCCCUUCGGGGACGCUAAGACAGGUGGUGCAUGGCUGUCGUCAGCUCGUGUCGUGAGAUGUUGGGUUAAGUCCCGCAACGAGCGCAACCCUUGUUAUUAGUUGCCAGCAUUAAGUUGGGCACUCUAAUGAGACUGCCGGUGACAAACCGGAGGAAGGUGGGGAUGACGUCAAGUCAUCAUGCCCCUUAUGACCUGGGCUACACACGUGCUACAAUGGGCAGUACAACGAGAAGCAAGCCUGCGAAGGCAAGCGAAUCUCUGAAAGCUGUUCUCAGUUCGGACUGCAGUCUGCAACUCGACUGCACGAAGCUGGAAUCGCUAGUAAUCGCGGAUCAGCACGCCGCGGUGAAUACGUUCCCGGGCCUUGUACACACCGCCCGUCACACCAUGGGAGUCUGCAAUGCCCAAAGCCGGUGGCCUAACCUUCGGGAAGGAGCCGUCUAAGCAGGCAGAGUGUG
rnacentral:rRNA from 1 species